rnacentral:misc_RNA from 1 species
GAUGAAGAACGCAGCGAAAUGCGAUAAGUAAUGCGAAUUGCAGAAUUCAGUGAGUCUUCGAAUCUUUGAACGCACAUUGCGCCCUGUGGUAUUCCGCAGGGCAUGCCUGUUCGAGCGUCAUUUCAACCCUCAAGCCUCGCUUGGUGUUGGGCCCUGCCCGCCGCGGCCGGCCCUAAAGAUAGUGGCGGCGCCGCCUGGCCCUCAGCGUAGUACAGCUCUCGCUCCAGGGUCCGGCGGCAGCCUGCCAGAACCCCCCAACUCUGUGGUUGACCUCGGAUCAGGUAGGGAUACCCGCUGAACUUAAGCAUAUCAAUAAGCGGAGGA